rnacentral:rRNA from 1 species
AUUGAACGCUGGCGGCAUGCCUUACACAUGCAAGUCGGACGGCAGCACGGGGGCAACCCUGGUGGCGAGUGGCGAACGGGUGAGUAAAGCAUCAGACCGUACCUGGGAGUGGGGGAUAACGUAGCGAAAGUUACGCUAAUACCGCAUAUUCUGUGAGCAGGAAAGCGGGGGAUCGCAAGACCUCGCGCUUCUGGAGCGGCCGAUGUCGGAUUAGCUAGUUGGUGGGGUAAAGGCCUACCAAGGCGACGAUCCGUAGCGGGUCUGAGAGGAUGAUCCGCAACACUGGGACUGAGACACGGCCCAGACUCCUACGGGAGGCAGCAGUGGGGAAUUUUGGACAAUGGGCGCAAGCCUGAUCCAGCCAUGCCGCGUGAGUGAAGAAGGCCUUCGGGUUGUAAACUCCUGUCAGGGGGAAAGAAGGCACCUGGGUUAAUAGCCCAAGGGCUGACGGUACCCCCAAAGGAAGCCACGGCUAACUACGUGCCAGCAGCCGCGGUAAUAC